rnacentral:pre_miRNA from 1 species
UUCCCGGGGCUCUCGCCUCUCCGUGUUCACAGCGGACCUUGAUUUAAUGUCAUACAAUUAAGGCACGCGGUGAAUGCCAAGAGCGGAGCCGGAAG